rnacentral:piRNA from 1 species
UCCCAAGUGGUCUGUUAUCAAACAAAUACA